rnacentral:rRNA from 1 species
GUCCAGACUCCUACGGGAGGCAGCAGUGGGGAAUAUUGCACAAUGGGGGAAACCCUGAUGCAGCAACGCCGCGUGAGUGAAGAAGUCAUUCGUGAUGUAAAGCUCUAUCAGCAGGGAAGAAAAUGACGGUACCUGAGUAAGAAGCCCCGGCUAACUACGUGCCAGCAGCCGCGGUAAUACGUAGGGGGCAAGCGUUAUCCGGAUUUACUGGGUGUAAAGGGAGCGUAGACGGCCAGACAAGUCUGAAGUGAAAAUCCAGCGCUUAACGUUGGAAGUGCUCUGGAAACUGCGUCGCUGGAGUACGGGAGGGGCAGGCGGAAUUCCUGGUGUAGCGGUGAAAUGCGUAGAUAUCAGGAGGAACACUGGCGGCGAAGGCGGCCUGCUGGACCGUGACUGACGUUGAGGCUCGAGAGCGUGGGGAGCAAACAGGAUUAGAUACCCGAGUA